AGAAAGCAUUCAAGGGACAUGCCACCGAAGGUGACAGUGGGGGAGAAAGUGGAGCAGAGGUAUGGGAACUCCCUGACUGGCUCCAGGUGGAAGGAGGCUGCAAUGGUUUAUUUACUGUAAUCAUUGCACUAGGAAAAGGCAAUGAAAUGAAACAUCUUGUUUUCAAGAGUGUCCUGGGAACCAGACGGAACACAGCCCCAUUAAUCACACAACGGCACAUAAUCAACACACGUGUACUGCAGAAGUAACUCGCUUCACAGGCUUUACCCAGGAAAAAGAACAUGUUUGGGAAGAAUCACCGGAGGGACGAGUUUUCUAAAGCCUCUCUCAGCGCAGACACCGACAACCAGACUCAUUCACAAAGCUCCAUCUUUUGGCUCAGCCGGGUUUGGCUGUCAGAAAUGUUUAAAUAUGGAAAAAAAUAAACAGUUGCAACACGUUUCUGUGCAGAGAUCUGCCUGAGCUCCUUUGUGAUGUAAUGGGAAACGCGGCAUUCAGGCUACCAGCUGUAGAAUAAACAGAACUUCGAGGGUUAAAAGGAACUGAACUUUCCACGACCCCAUCUGCAGAGAAGAAAAUAAUAAGAGGAAUGAUGCACUGCCCCACAGCCCUGAUAGUUUAUCCUCCGGUCCCGGCUGCAGAGACAAGCACCGGAUGUGAUAGGGCUGCUCAGGGCCGCCUCCGAGGUUAGUGCUGCCCAUGGGAGACGCACAGGGAGGCUCUUCCAGUUCCCCGCUUCCUCCCCCAGUGCCCUGCUGGCCACUUGAGCCCGCUGCCUGAGUCUGAUCCCACAGCACUGGUGAGCUUUGGCCAACAGGCACUGCUCGGCUGCAGAGCAGCAAUUUGGAAAAUAAACAGGAAAGACGACAGUGAGAAGGAAGAAGGUGAAAAGUCUCCCAGCUGAAUUCUUGGCUUGGGGGCCCUGGUUGGUGCGUGCAGGUCAAGGCUGCUGCAGGACAUAGUUGGGGGUUGGGGGUGGUGUGGGCAGCAGCAUCCCCAGCCAGAGAGAGGCGGCCGAAAAUUACCCACGGCUGCCACAGUGGGAGGCCCCACAUCCCUCUCUCAUCCUCCCACCCCUACCAUCUUGGAUCCAAGAUGAAGAAAUAUGUGGUACCAUGUGGUUCUCAUUACCAUGCUCUCCUGUCCCCUAAGGCUCAGAUAAACCAAAACUGACUCCUCCCAGAGACUGCUGGCCACCACUAGGGACCCCUGCCCACAUACGCCUUUUUGCCCAUUACCACCCACCUUGUACCAAAACCUUGAGACUCACUGCAAAAAUAAGGUGGACGAGAAUCCCUACCUCAAUGUUGAUUUGUAAGAAAGCAGCUGAUGCCAAAAGACACAGGGAGUGCCCAGAGUUCCCAACUCAGAAAUAUAAAUAAAAGUGGUCCAAGAGCCAAGCUAGACUGUGCAGAACCAAGGAAAUACACAAAAUGCUUCAAUGAGAGGUCACUUCUGCUCUGGUUAAUUCAAAUUGGUCUUGUGCUCUGAUUGUGAGUAGCUGCCUUCUUCUGGUGUUUCAGUGGGAUCACCCAAACUCAGUUCACAUUCAUAUCAUCAGUUAUCUCCUUUCAUCGAACACCACAGACAUGAACACAACACAACUACCCAGAGACCCAUGGGCGACACAGUGACUCUCUACAGGAGUGAGGGAGUGUCAGGAAACUCAAAGGAAGAGGUGCUUUGAAAAACCAGGAGAGGUUACCCAACUGCAGCAUCCUCUGACAGAUUAAGGUAUGCCAGGUGAGACACGUCACACCACAAUAAUCUACCUUCUUGCCCAGAACUCAGAAAGGCAGUCUGCCAGCUUCAUAGGGAAGGAGUCAGGCAGGACUUUUUCUGAAAGCUCCACUGGGGCAGGACUGAGAGGAGGAGAGAGUCUGAAAAGAGUGGAGCACCAACGCCUGACCAAGACUCAGUCCAUCUUCCUGGCAAGUCUAAGGAGGAUGAGGCACUCACACACUCCUUCAUAUUUUACUGGGGGAACAAGCUGACUGGUGAUUAACAUCAAGUACAAUGACCCCAUGUUACAAGCCUGCUGGGGCCUGUGGAGGUGGCCAUUUCCUGUGUAAUACCAGCUUGUUUAAACACUAACAUUCAAACUCCACAGCUGCAGAACAAACCCGGAAAGAGUUGAGUGAGAAGAAGCCGUGCAUUGUGUUUCAGAGCUAUGGAAGAUCAGAGAAGCAGUACAGAUGGGAAACAAGUUGGGUCUUCUGGUUCCUGGAGUGAGGAGAUCUGGAAAUACAGCCAAGAUGGCACAGAAGCUAGGCACAAAGAAGCUGAAAAAGAGGACACCCAUGUGGUACAGACACAAAGACAAAUGGCUGUAACAAGAGAACCACGCCUAAGACAUGCAAUAUCUGCCUUUUCAAACGGUUUCCCUGUGGGCCAUUAUAUCCUAGCCUACAACUGUCCACGCAGGGGUCAGAGGCUAACAUAAGACCACUGUUGCCCUGGAGAGCUUCUCACUCCACUGGAGAAAACUGCAGGAAUUCAGCAGCUAAUAGCAGAAAUGGACUUGAAUCCAAUAAGUGUGGCAGAGUUAAAAGAAUAAUACCCGGGCUUGAAAUGGCUUAGCAUGCCUCUUGGAAAGCCAAGAUGUCAUGCCAACUCUGUUUGCAUUGGGCGAAGGAUUUGAUUCUGGUACCUCAGUGCUAGGUAGCUCAAGAGGCCCUGGGCUGGGCUGGAGAUGGGGAGAAUUCUAUGCGGCUCCUGGAGAUUUCUAGCAACAAUGUGUCAUCCAGAUGCCACAUGAUACAAAGAAGAGACAAAGGUAUCAAAGGCCACCAUUCCAGGAGUUAAGAUAUGAGCAGCAAGACACCAUCCUCUAAGAAUAAGAGAUGUUUGCUGGGUGACCCCUAAAGAGACCAGACUUAGAUGAAGAGUCAACACAUGGAAGCUCCCUAAGGAAGUCAGCUUACUGCAUACGCCCUACGUAUCCCUCUUUCUCCCUAUGUGACAAGACCUCAGAGGGCUCCCUACGACCCUUCUCCAGUGUGCUCUGUAGACUAUGGAAGACGAUCCAUGGAAAAGCAGCAAGUACAAGAAUUUCUAGAGUUUUUUUUUUUUUAAACAGUACUCCAAUCCAACAGUGUGAUAAAUGCAUCCGAGCUACAAUUAGGAAGAUAUAUAGCAUCAGAAUGCGAAGGUCUGGGCAGCCUGGUGAAACGCGGGCUCUCCAGAGCCCCAGCUAUGUUUCCCAUUAUGUAACCCUGGUCAUGGGCAGACAGCCAGACUCCAAAUGAAAAAGAGACUCUGGCUUGGCACUGGUUCUAUUUUCCUAUCCUCAUUCGGGGUCAGCGCAGUGUCAUACAGCUGCAGAGAAAGCUCUGGGGAUUAAACCUGGGAAAGCCUCCAAGACCAGGACCUGGGUUCAAGUACCAGCUGAAAGCAAUAAACCAACUGCCACAGCUGGGCUAGGUUUGGAUGUUCUCAAAGUCCCCUGACUCUUUCACUUACUGAGAACUAGAAAUCAGGAUAAGUGAAGAUUUGGCCUCAGCAGAGACUGAAAUGAGGUGUUCCACAUGUGCCUGCUGUUGUGGUUUUGACUGGAAGGAAGAGGAGCAUGGGCAAAGAGGAGAGAACCAAGGAAACUCAAGAUGAACCCUGGAAUUCCCCUCAGAGAGGGGAAGAUGCUGUGCAAUGAUUCUCUAACUGCAUAAGGAAAGAGGGUUCCAGAGGAUCCUGAAAACUCAAGAAGAGUAACAACUCACCAAACAAGAUCCAAGUAAGGGGGAAGAAACUCAGGACUGCAAAACACCUGGAGGGAGAGAGCUCCACGAGGAUCCAUGCCAUCAUGGCACUUUGGGAGGCCUGUCACGAGUUACACAGGCCUAGGCUGCCCACACCCCAGCUCAGCAGAAAAAGAGAACUGCAAUCCAAGUCAGACAGAUCCUGCCUGGACUCUCCGCAGAGAGCCUGGAGAGUCUGACCAGCAAAGAAACAGCAAUCUUCCUACCUACCCCACUCUCAAUCCCCCCCACCCCAAUCCAGGCUCCCGAAGAAGAAAAACAAACAACAACAGAGCAGGCAAUUGCACAAGAGCUGCAGAGUGAAGGCGAGGUGGACGGCAACGGCUUCUCGGCUGUGCCCCGUAUCUCUUCCCAGAACACUGAUGACAAAGCUGGAGACGUUACUCACAUGCUGAGCCAGUCAGCCCCUCACCCAGGGCUGGUGCUGAGAAGUCUGACUAGAAACCGGCAGUCAACGCUGACACACUCAUUUAUAAUAAAAGGUGUAUAUUAAACAAACUAGUCAAAUCCUUAAACAAAAAGUAAGGGCAAAAUGUGACUGUCAUUCUUAAUUGUCCAUGCAAAAUCCUCCCGGUUAAAUUCCAUGUGUCUCCUGGACUUUGAUAAAUGUUAUUUCUCCUCUCAAGAACAUGAACAGAGAUACCGCUGUCGAAGUAGCUCUCUUGGAAAGAAACCUGAUAAGAAAACCUGCUAUGGCAGGUGAGUGAAACCUGUGACGGACACCAUUUUGGGGGAUGACCAGACUGGAACAUAAUAUUUCACUGAGGCAGAGGGGUCUGUGGUUACUUUCUGCAUGCCACAUGUCUAGCCCUAAAGAACUGAGGAAUGCUCUCGACAGGAAAAACACAGCAGCCAAUGCUGCGAUACCAAAGCCACAACUCCACGGGGCCCUGGAGCCUCUCAAACUAAGCUGCCAGCUAGGGAGCUAACACUAGCUUUGGAUAAAACACAGCUCUGGUACAGUAAUUAAUUUUUUUCUUAACUAGGAUUACAUUAAUUUUCAAGGACUAAUGGAGUCCAGCUGUAAUGUGAAGAGUGGCUGCUGAUGCACAAAGGCACUUGUGCGUACAUUAUAAACACACACACACGCGCGCGCACACACACACACAGACCUAUAAAAAGGAUCUACUAUAACAGGAUAUUUUUAGUUUCUACAAUGCUGCACUAAAAAUACAGUCCCGGCUGAUACAUCAUGGCAGAACUAUUCUCUCUCUGUCCCUUCAGGAACAGUUUAAAACAUUUAUUUUUGUUUCCUUUUGCGAUGGUCAGAGUAGAGAGAGAAAAUAGCAACUCAUUGAUAAGAGGAAACGAGACAGACAUGAAAAAUUGAAAACUACCUAAAAACUCAUGGAGAGGUUUAUUUUAUUAGUUCUUAAUAAAUAUCUUGCAGAUUUCCUCAGGAAAUACACCAGAUCACAUGUAAAAUAGUUUGAUACUGAUGUCAACUGCAUCAACAUAUGAAGUCUAUUAGGGUGAAGCCGCAGCAGGGUGAUCAGCGUGCUGAAAAACUCCACAGUACUUGUGUGUGUGGGGGGGGAUCUCACGGCCUUCCAAAUUCUUCGAGAGGUAAAAAAGUCAGCCAAGACGCAGAGAGAGAAAGAGAGAGAAAAAAAGAUCCCACAUCCUGCUUUCAGCUGCCAGCAAUGUGAAGUGCCCAGAGAUUAAUUCUACGUCUGGCCUGGAAAUGCGA
rnacentral:lncRNA from 1 species